GAGAGGGAGUGUUGUGUACUGCAAGUGGAGGAGGGAGGGCAUUAAGGAAGAAAGGCAGAGUUGCUUGCGAGUGAUCAGAGCAUCACCAACGUGAACCAUUUCCAUUUCAUCUGACUAUAUUUAGUGCACCAAAGGGAUAUCUACUGCAUGCAUGCUUGCUUACAACAACUUCCCGGGGCUCUAAGCACGAAUAAGGAAGAGCCCUUUGCUUAAAAAUGGGAUGCAGCUUGUGCUCGCUGCAGAAGCAAGAGGAACAGUACAAAUUACUCUAUGAAGUUUGCCAGGAACAACUUGAGAAACAAUCUGAAAGAAUUGGCCGUCUGCAAGAAUGUUGCCCAGGGAACACCCAGAUGUUGUUGUUUUUUUGUUUUUACCAUCCUCGUGAGAGGCUUUUCUCAUGUCCCCACAUGGAGCUGGAGCUGAUAGAGAGAGCUCAUUUGCGCUAUCCCCAGGUUGGAUUUGAACUGGCAACCUUCAGGUCAGCAAUUCAGCCUUCAAGUCAUCAGUCCUGCCAGCACAAGGGUUUAACCCACUGCACAACCGGAGGCUUCAUGAUAUCAGUAGUCUUGAUGUAUAGUUCAAUAAAAC
rnacentral:lncRNA from 11 species